rnacentral:misc_RNA from 1 species
AAGUCGUAACAAGGUUUCCGUAGGUGAACCUGCGGAAGGAUCAUUAUCGUGGGGCUCCGGCCCCGUCGAGAUAUCACCCUUGCCUUUUUUCGAGCACCGUUCCGUUUCCUCGGCAGGCCCGCCUGCCAACGGGGACCCCAACCAAACCCUUUUGCGUACCUGCAACCGUCUGAGAAACAAUGCAAAACAAUCAAAACUUUCAACAAUGGAUCUCUUGGUUCUG